CAGUCGCCGCGGGAAUACAGAGGGUGCAAGCGUUAAUCGGAAUUACUGGGCGUAAAGCGCGCGUAGGUGGUUUGUUAAGUUGGAUGUGAAAGCCCCGGGCUCAACCUGGGAACUGCAUCCAAAACUGGCAAGCUAGAGUACGGUAGAGGGUGGUGGAAUUUCCUGUGUAGCGGUGAAAUGCGUAGAUAUAGGAAGGAACACCAGUGGCGAAGGCGACCACCUGGACUGAUACUGACACUGAGGUGCGAAAGCGUGGGGAGCAAACAGGAUUAGAUACCCCUGUAGUCCCUGUCUCUUAUAA
rnacentral:rRNA from 1 species